AUUGAACGCUGGCGGCAGGCCUAACACAUGCAAGUCGAACGGUAACAGGAAGCAGCUUGCUGCUUCGCUGACGAGUGGCGGACGGGUGAGUAAUGUCUGGGAAGCUGCCUGAUGGAGGGGGAUAACUACUGGAAACGGUAGCUAAUACCGCAUAAUGUCGCAAGACCAAAGAGGGGGACCUUCGGGCCUCUUGCCAUCGGAUGUGCCCAGAUGGGAUUAGCUUGUUGGUGGGGUAACGGCUCACCAAGGCGACGAUCCCUAGCUGGUCUGAGAGGAUGACCAGCCACACUGGGACUGAGAGACGGUCCAGACUCCUACGGGAGGCAGCAGUGGGGAAUAUUGCACAAUGGGCGCAAGCCUGAUGCAGCCAUGCCGCGUGUAUGAAGAAGGCCUUCGGGUUGUAAAGUACUUUCAGCGGGGAGGAAGGGAGUAAAGUUAAUACCUUUGCUCAUUGACGUUACCCGCAGAAGAAGCACCGGCUAACUCCGUG
rnacentral:rRNA from 1 species